UACGGAAGGCAGCAGUGGGGAAUAUUGCACAAUGGGCGAAAGCCUGAUGCAGCUAUGCCGCGUGUAUGAAGAAGGCCUUAGGGUUGUAAAGUACUUUCAUCGGGGAGGAAAAACAAAACUAAUAAUUUUAUUUCUUGACGUUACCCGAAAAAGAAGCACCGGCUAACUCCGUGCCAGCAGCCGCGGUAAUACGGAGGGUGCUAGCGUUAAUCAGAAUUACUGGGCGUAAAGAGCACGUAGGUGGUUUUUUUAAGUCAGAUGUGAAAUCCCUGGGCUUAACCUAGGAACUGCAUUUUGAAACUGAAAUACUAGAGUAUCGUAGAGGGAGGUAGAAUUCUAGGUGUAGCGGUGAAAUGCGUAGAUAUCUGGAGGAAUACCUGUGGCGAAAGCGGCCUCCUAAACGAAUACUGACACUGAGGUGCGAAAGC
rnacentral:rRNA from 1 species